rnacentral:tRNA from 1 species
GCGGAUGUGGCGGAACUGGCAGACGCACUAGACUUAGGAUCUAGCGCUUCACGGCGUGGGGGUUCAAAUCCCUUCAUCCGCACCA